rnacentral:rRNA from 1 species
AGUGAACGCUGGCGGUAGGCCUAACACAUGCAAGUCGAACGGCAGCACAGUAAGAGCUUGUUCUUACGGGUGGCGAGUGGCGGACGGGUGAGGCAUACAUCGGAAUCUACUUUUUCGUGGGGGAUAACGUAGGGAAACUUACGCUAAUACCGCAUACGUCCUACGGGUGAAAUCAGGAGUUCUUCGGACCCUUCGCGAUUGAAUUAGCCGAUGUCGGAUUAGCUAGUUGGCGGGGUAAAGGCCCACCAAGGCGACGAUCCGUAGCUGGUCUGAGAGGAUGAUCAGCCACACUGGAACUGAGACACGGUCCAGACUCCUACGGGAGGCAGCAGUGGGGAAUAUUGGACAAUGGGCGCAAGCCUGAUCCAGCAAUACCGCGUGGGUGAAGAAGGUCUUCGGGUUGUAAAGCCCUUUUGUUGGGAAAGAAAAGCUGCAUGUUAAUCCGCCGAUGUCCUGACGGUACCCAAAGAGUAAGCACCGGCUAACUUCGUG